rnacentral:miRNA from 1 species
ACUGGACCCUAAUGGUCAGGGGUCCCUUUACCUUUAAAGGGACCCCUGACCAUUAGGUCCAGU